rnacentral:rRNA from 1 species
UACGUAGGCAGCGAGCGUUGUUCGGAAUUACUGGGUGUAAAGGGUUCGUAGGCGGUGCGGCAAGUUGGGAGUGAAAUCUCUGGGCUUAACCCAGAGGCUGCUUCCAAAACUGCUGUGCUUGAGUGUGGGAGAGGCGCGUGGAAUUGCAGGUGUAGCGGUGAAAUGCGUAGAUAUCUGCAGGAACACCCGUGGCGAAAGCGGCGCGCUGGACCACUACUGACGCUGAGGCGCGAAAGCUAGGGGAGCAAACAGG